AAGGAGUCUAACAUGUGUGCGAGUAUGCGGGCGGCAACCCUGUAUGCACAAUGAAAGUGGGAGUAGGGAGAGUUUUACUUUUUGCUUUUCUUGCACCUACGACCGACCACGAACUCUGUGAGAGGUUUGAGUUGUAGCACAUCUGUUAGGACCCGAAAUAUGGUGAACUAUGCCUGAGUAGGGUGAAGUCAGGCGAAAGCCUGAUGGAGGCUCGUAGCGAUACUGACGCGCAAAUCGUUCGUCAAACUUGGGUAUAGGGGCGAAAGACUAAUCGAACCGUCUAGUAGCUGGUUUCUUCCGAAGUUUUUCUCAGGAUAGCUGGAGUUCUAUUAGUUUUAUCAGGUAAAGCGAAUGAUUAGAGGCCUCAUGCGCGCGUUGCCCUCGACCUAUUCUCAAACUUUAACUGCGUAAGAUCCAGUGCUUACUUCAUUGAACUGCUGGGGUUAAUAUGAACUACAAGUGGGCCAUUUUUGGUCAGCAGAACUGGCCAGAGGACUCAUUGAUCUUUUAUUCCGCCUGCGGUGUUGCACGCUUUGAGCAAGUCGGUAAUAACCGCUGGCUCCAGGCGGCCUAGGGGAGCACACUUCAGGCGAAGCAUCAGGAAAACAGAAUUCACUUCGUGAAUUCUGCUUUUCUU
rnacentral:ncRNA from 1 species